rnacentral:rRNA from 1 species
UGAGUAACACGUAUCCAACCUGCCGUCUACUCUCGGACAGCCUUCUGAAAGGAAGAUUAAUACAAGAUGGCAUCAUGAGUUCACAUGUUCACAUGAUUAAAGGUAUUCCGGUAGACGAUGGGGAUGCGUUCCAUUAGAUAGUAGGCGGGGUAACGGCCCACCUAGUCUUCGAUGGAUAGGGGUUCUGAGAGGAAGGUCCCCCACAUUGGAACUGAGACACGGUCCAA